rnacentral:rRNA from 1 species
CCUGGCUCAGGAUGAACGCUGGCGGCGUGCCUAAUACAUGCAAGUAGAACGCUGAAGGAGGAGCUUGCUCUUCUGGAUGAGUUGCGAACGGGUGAGUAACGCGUAGGUAACCUGCCUGGUAGCGGGGGAUAACUAUUGGAAACGAUAGCUAAUACCGCAUAACAGUAGAUGUUGCAUGAUAUCUGCUUGAAAGGGGCAAUUGCUCCACUACCAGAUGGACCUGCGUUGUAUUAGCUAGUUGGUGAGGUAACGGCUCACCAAGGCGACGAUACAUAGCCGACCUGAGAGGGUGAUCGGCCACACUGGGACUGAGACACGGCCCAGACUCCUACGG